CCAUCGGCCCUCUUCAGGGCCAUCAAAUGUGUGGAUAAAAGUUAAG
rfam:Aedes aegypti strain Liverpool supercont1.130 genomic scaffold, whole genome shotgun sequence.